rnacentral:tRNA from 1 species
GGAGGAGUGUCGGAGUGGUCGAUCGAGACUGCCUUGAAAGCAGUUGAGGCCGUAAGGCUUCCGAAGGUUCGAAUCCUUCCUCCUCCG